GCAGUCGUACGAGAGUUUUUAACUCUAGUGGCGGACGGGUGAGUAACACGCUGAGAAUUUACCUUUAGGAGGGGGAUAACAAUUGGAAACGACUGCUAAUACCCCAUAUGCUUUUGAGUGAAAUGGAUUUAUAUUUAUCCGCCUAGAGAGAAGCUCGCGGCUGAUUAGCUUGUUGGUAAGGUAAGAGCUUACCAAGGCGACGAUCAGUAUCUGGUUUGAGAGGACGAUCAGACACACUGGAACUGAGACACGGUCCAGACUCCUACGGGAGGCAGCAGUGGGGAAUUUUCCGCAAUGGGCGAAAGCCUGACGGAGCAAUACCGCGUGAGGGAAGACUGCCUAUGGGUUGUAAACCUCUUCUUUCAGGGAGGAAUAAAAUGACGUGUACCUGAAGAAUAAGCAUCGGCUAACUCCGUGCCAGCAGCCGCGGUAAGACGGAGGAUGCAAGUGUUAUCCGGAAUCACUGGGCGUAAAGCGUCUGUAGGUGGUUUGAUAAGUCAACUGUUAAAUCUUGAGGCUCAACUUCAAAAUCGCAGUCGAAACUAUUAGACUAGAGUAUAGUAGAGGUAAAGGGAAUUUCCAGUGGAGCGGUGAAAUGCGUAGAUAUUGGAAAGAACACCGAUGGCGAAAGCACUUUACUGGGCUAUUACUAACACUCAGAGACGAAAGCUAGGGUAGCAAAUGGGAUUAGAUACCCCAGUAGUCCUAGCCGUAAACUAUGGAUACUAGAUGUUGAACAGAUCGACCUGUGCAGUAUCAAAGCUAACGCGUUAAGUAUCCCGCCUGGGAAGUAUGCUCGCAAGAGUGAAAACUCAAAGGGAAAUUGACGGGGG
rnacentral:rRNA from 1 species